rnacentral:rRNA from 7 species
AUCCUGGCUCAGAGCGAACGCUGGCGGCAGGCUUAACACAUGCAAGUCGAGCGGGCGUAGCAAUACGUCAGCGGCAGACGGGUGAGUAACGCGUGGGAACGUACCUUUUGGUUCGGAACAACACAGGGAAACUUGUGCUAAUACCGGAUAAGCCCUUACGGGGAAAGAUUUAUCGCCGAAAGAUCGGCCCGCGUCUGAUUAGCUAGUUGGUGAGGUAAUGGCUCACCAAGGCGACGAUCAGUAGCUGGUCUGAGAGGAUGAUCAGCCACAUUGGGACUGAGACACGGCCCAAACUCCUACGGGAGGCAGCAGUGGGGAAUAUUGGACAAUGGGGGCAACCCUGAUCCAGCCAUGCCGCGUGAGUGAUGAAGGCCCUAGGGUUGUAAAGCUCUUUUGUGCGGGAAGAUAAUGACGGUACCGCAAGAA